AUGGGUUCCAAACUUAGCAUUGUACAAAGGGGAGUGUAUUAUAAUAUUGUUAGCAUUUUAAUCAAGAGUAAUGUGAAAUUCUCUAAAGGAAAAUUGAAACAGUUUAUAAGAUGGCUUUUUCUGCAGUUCCCAAACAUUUCCCCUGAAGAAAUCCACAAUAUUCAAUUCUGGGAUAAAGUUGGGAAUGAAUUGAUAACCUUAGGACAAUCUAGCAAAUCACCCUCAGCUAAAUUUGUGUUCUGGAGUUUACAAAUUCGAACAGCAUUGCUCAAACAAAAGGAAAUGGAGAAAAAGCCAAAUGUAAAGCCAUGUACCUCUGCUCUCCCUGUUCCUCCCUCUCCCUCUAAAACCCCUAAACCUCUUUCCCCAAAAAAACCCAGAGCACGUGUUAGCUUUCCGGAGAGCAGUGAUGACCAAAAUGGCCCCCAGUCCUUAGGGGGUCCGCAAGAUGGUGGAUGCCACGUGGCAUCUUCCCAAACCUGGUCUUCUUCUUCCCAAAAUCCUCUUAAGCAUCCCAAAAUUCCUGCCCCAUCCCCCUCUCCUCCUGUUCCUCGUGACACCUUCCCUCCUCCCCCCGCCUUUCCUGCAGUACCCUCAGCUCCGCCUCUUUACUCCUCCCAGGGGGCGUCUGCUGACGUGAUGUCACCAGGUGACCCCGCCCCCUGUUCCCACGGUAUCCCCACCCCUUGCCGGCUCCCUUUCCCCACCCCCUCCCCGGGUUCCCACGGUGGGGACACACCCACUGCCUGUCCCCAAACCUGUAGCUGUGAUCCCAAUGUUUCUGAUUCAAGGGAUACAGAGCCGGGGACAGCAGACCCAAUGCACAGUGCCAUGUUGUCACUAGCUCCUGUUACGUUUCAGCCUGCAGCUCAAGCAGGAGCAGCCCCAGCCGCUAAUUGGAGUUCUUUUGGACGACAAUUGAUUAAAGAGAUCUGUAAAUCUCAUAAAGAAUAUGGUCCACACAGUCCAUAUUUCCGUGGCCUUUUAAAUUCUGAAUUAAGUAGGACUGUUGUGGUUCCACAUGAUUUAAAACAAAUUUUUUCAUGUCUCAUGACAUCCACGGAAUUCAAAUUAUGGGAAUCAGCAUUGAAACAACUGCUAAAAGAUGCUCUCCCAGGCUUACAGGCUGAUCCAAACACAGCAAAAGACAACAAUAGUAACCCUAUCACCAUGGAGCACCUCUGUGGUGAGGGUCAAUGGUCUUCUCCCUCAGUCCAAGCUGCUGCAAUUCCUGCAGAAACAUUUGAGAAAGUAAAAGAAGCAGCUGAAAAAGCAUUCUUUUCCCUCCAACCUGAGGGGCCUUUUGAGCCCUAUAGUAAAAUCAAACAACUACCAUCAGAACCUUUUUUGAAAUUUGUAGAAAGGCUAACUAGAGCCAUUGAAAUACAGGUCUCAAGGGACUAGGGACACCUAUCACACGACACCUUGCUGGUAUGUUAGCCUGAUUGACAGGGCACACUCAGCGAGGGGCGAGGGGGAAGGGAGAAGGUAAAACAGGAUAUUGCAACACACCACAACAAGAAUAAAGCCCUUUCCCCACUGUCUGACUUUUGUUGG
ensembl:lncRNA